AGAUUGAACGCUGGCGGCAUGCCUUACACAUGCAAGUCGAACGGCAGCACGGGGGCAACCCUGGUGGCGAGUGGCGAACGGGUGAGUAAUAUAUCGGAACGUGCCCUGGAGUGGGGGAUAGCUCGGCGAAAGCCGGAUUAAUACCGCAUACGAUCUACGGAUGAAAGUGGGGAUCGCAAGACCUCAUGCUCCGUGGAGCGGCCGAUAUCUGAUUAGCUAGUUAGGUAGGUAAAACGCCUACCGAAGCAUCGAUCGAGUAGCUGGUCUGAGAGGACCGACCACGCCACACUGGAACUGGAACGAACGACCGGUCCAGACC
rnacentral:rRNA from 1 species